AGUGAACGCUGGCGGUAGGCCUAACACAUGCAAGUCGAACGGCAGCACAGUAAGAGCUUGCUCUUACGGGUGGCGAGUGGCGGACGGGUGAGGAAUACAUCGGAAUCUACUUUUUCGUGGGGGAUAACGUAGGGAAACUUACGCUAAUACCGCAUACGACCUACGGGUGAAAGCAGGGGAUCUUCGGACCUUGCGCGAUUGAAUGAGCCGAUGUCGGAUUAGCUAGUUGGCGGGGUAAAGGCCCACCAAUGCGACGAUCCGUAGCUGGUCUGAGAGAAUGAUAAGCCACACUGGAACUGAGACACGGUCCAGACUCCUACGGGAGGCAGCAGUGGGGAAUAUUGGACAAUGGGCGCAAGCCUGAUCCAGCAAUACCGCGUGGGUGAAGAAGGCCGUCGGGUUGUAAAGCCCUUUUGUUGGGAAAGAAAAGCAGCAGGUUAUAACCCCGCUGCUCUGACGGUACCCAAAGAAUAAGCACCGGCUAACUUCGUG
rnacentral:rRNA from 1 species